GAAAUAUGAUAAUCAAGAAGAAGCUUCUAACUUCAACUUAAGCGGUGAAAUCCGUUUAUAUUUCU
rnacentral:tRNA from 1 species